GCUCCGGUGGCCUAGUGGUUUGAGCGACCGCCUCGGACGCGAGAGGUCGCGGUUCGAACCCCGGCCGAGUA